UUGCGCCCUCUGGCAUUCCGGGGGGCAUGCCUGUCCGAGCGUCAUUACGCACCCUCAAGCCCGGCUUGUGUGAUGGGCCCCGGCGUCUCGUUCGCGAGACGGGCCCGAAAGGCAGCGGCGGCGUCGACCCGAUGAGCCCGAGCGUAUGGGGACUUCUGUCACACGUUCGCGGUGCGGACCGGCGCCUGCUUGACUUUUCUGAUUAUCCAGGUUGACCUCGGAUCAGGUAGGGAUACCCGCUGAACUUAAGC
rnacentral:misc_RNA from 1 species